UUGACCUCGGAUCAGGUAGGGAUACCCGCUGAACUUAAGCAUAUAAAAGGGGGGGAAGGAAA
rnacentral:rRNA from 1 species